GGGGUCUGCAGCAGCAGCCGGCUGCGGUCGGCGAUCACCUGGCCGAUGUGGUACGGCAGCCCGCAGUUGGCGAACGAGACGUGGUGGCCGCGCUCGAGCACCACGAUCUCGGCGAACUCGUCGAGUCGUCGCGCACGUGCCGCGACCGACGCUCCCGCUGCCACUCCAC
rnacentral:antisense_RNA from 1 species